GCUUCAAACCUUGAUCCUCAGAUCUCAGCCUCCUGAGUAGGUAGGAUUGUAGGCAUGACCUACCAGCACCCAGCUAAGUGGUAACUUUUAAUGAAGUUCCUUCCCCACAUAUUUUUUUAAUUUCUAUGAUAUAGGGCUUACAAUGUAAUAAAACACAUCUAUUACAUACACAUCCUAUAUAUUAAUGAUGACAUAUCUAAAGCAUUUCCUGAGGCAGUGUAAAGAGACAAGAGAUGAUUUUGUGUAGGGCUCAGCCAGAUGGCCCAAAUACAAAAAGAGUCUCCAGCAGAAUGAUUUAUUUUUUUCUCAUGCAACACAUCUGGCUAGAGAAUAGGAGUCCAUUGUGCUGGCUGCCUCUGGGCUCCAUAAAGUUCUAAGCUUACCAUUCUAACAAUUGAUUCCUCUAGAGAUUCUUCCAUUGUUCUCUAGGAGAAGGCCAAUUUAUGAAACUGUGUUUAUACUUUUAGGUUACAAACUAUCUAUAAAAAGAACUCCAUUACUGAGAGCUGAUCAUGGAUAUGUCUGUACAGCAUGUAUAUGCCA